CAGCCGCCGCGGUAAUACCAGCUCUCCGAGUGGUGUGGAUGUUUAUUGGGCCUAAAGCAUCCGUAGCUGGCUGAGUUAGUCCUUUGUUAAAUCCACCGAAUUAAUCGUUGGAUUGCGGGGGAUACUGCUCGGCUAGGGGACGAGAGAGGCAGACGGUAUUUUCGGGGUAGGGGUGAAAUCCUAUAAUCCCGGGAAGACCACCAGUGGCGAAGGCUGUCUGCUAGAACGCGCCCGACGGUGAGGGAUGAAAGCUGGGGGAGCGAACCGGAUUAGAUACCCGGGUAGUCCCAGCUGUAAACGAUGCAGGCUAGGUGUUUGGGCGGCCACGUGCCGCUCUAGUGCCGCAGGGAAGCUGUUAAGCCUGCCGCCUGGGGAGUACGAUCGCAAGAUUGAAACUUAAAGGAAUUGGCGGGGGAGCAC
rnacentral:rRNA from 1 species